AUGCGGACUAAAAAAACGGAGAGAGUACAUCAUAAAACAUCCAACGGCUCCGGAUUCAUCUUCCUCAUCAAGCUCGCCCCGCCGUGUUCAUCUUCUUCCUCACGCAGCCACCGGCUGACCCAGGGCAACCGCCUGCCUCCAUCCCCCGCAGCCAGCAGCUACCGCCGGCCCCGCCCUCCCCCACCGCCAUGCUGGCCGUCGCCCCAAGCAAUCAUCCUCCUAUAUGCUGGUUCUCGAAAUCGUCUACUUUUGGUAGCCCAAAAUGGUGUAGAUUGUCUGCAACAUGGCCGGCACAAUGAUGAGCGCAACCACGGCGGCGAGCGAGACGGAUACCCAGGGAGACGGGAGGAAGUGCAGUAUCAAGUCCCCACACCAUCUGCGCGCCCGCCUCCUCCUGUGCCGCGCCACCGCGCGGAUCAUCUCGCCGUACUCUUCGGGCAUGGGCACCCCAGCCGCCUCCAAGACCAUGUCACGGAAGAAAUCCACCACCUCCUCGUCCGUGCACUUUACGCUGCCGAGGAUCCACCGGCGGCGAAGCAGCGCCGCGUCCUGCGGGCACCGUAUCAGGCCCUCCAUGCGCUUGACGUGCACCGUCACGCAGGCGCCGUGCGCCCAGUGGAAGUGCUUCUCGAAGGCCAGCAUGGAAUGGAGCAGCGCCGCGGUGUAGGCGAGGAUGUGGAAGCUGGGGAUGGUCAUCACCGCCAUCGGGCUCGCCGCCGCGCUCCGGAACUCCAUGUUGAGGUCCCCGCCGUGCCUCUCCGCCCCGUCCAGAGAGGGCUUCCGGAACCACACCGCCGCCCGAUGCAGCUCUCUGGCGCAAGGCAUGAUCCACCCCGACUGAUCCGAUUCCUCCUUGGCCUCGAGAAGCUUCAGUGGCACCGAGAGGACGCCGUACUUGUUCUCCGGGACGCGCGACCAGUGGAAGAGGUGUAG
rnacentral:rRNA from 1 species